UACGUAGGUGGCAAGCGUUGUCCGGAAUUAUUGGGCGUAAAGCGCGCGCAGGCGGUCCUUUAAGUCUGAUGUGAAAGCCCACGGCUCAACCGUGGAGGGUCAUUGGAAACUGGGGGACUUGAGUGCAGAAGAGGAGAGUGGAAUUCCACGUGUAGCGGUGAAAUGCGUAGAGAUGUGGAGGAACACCAGUGGCGAAGGCGACUCUCUGGUCUGUAACUGACGCUGAGGUGCGAAAGCGUGGGGAGCAAACAGG
rnacentral:rRNA from 1 species